CGCUGGCGGCAUGCCUAACACAUGCAAGUCGAACGGUAACAGGUCUUCGGAUGCUGACGAGUGGCGCACGGGUGAGUAACGCGUGGAUAUCUGCCUAUUAGUGGGGGACAACUUUCGGAAACGGAAGCUAAUACCGCAUAAUCUCUACGGAGGAAAGCAGGGGACCUUUCGGGGCCUUGUGCUGAUAGAUGAGUCCGCGUCUGAUUAGCUAGUUGGUAGGGUAAAAGCCUACCAAGGCGAUGAUCAGUAGCUGGUUUGAGAGGAUGAUCAGCCACACUGGAACUGAGACACGGUCCAGACUCCUACGGGAGGCAGCAGUGGGGAAUUUUGCACAAUGGGGGAAACCCUGAUGCAGCGAUGCCGCGUGUGGGAAGAAGGCUUUCGAGUUGUAAACCACUUUCAAUUGGGAAGAAGGGAUGAGUGUUAAUAACACUCUGACUUGACGGUACCUUUAGAAGAAGCACCGGCUAAUUUCGUGCCAGCAGCCGCGGUAAUACGAAAGGUGCAAGCGUUGUUCGGAUUUACUGGGCGUAAAGAGAUCGUAGGUGGUUUGAUAAGUUGGAUGUGAAAUCCCGGGGCUCAACCUCGGAACUGCAUCCAAAACUGUCAGACUUGAGUUCGGGAGGGGUAAGCGGAAUUCCGUGUGUAGCAGUGAAAUGCGUAGAUAUACGGAGGAACACCUGAGGCGAAGGCGGCUUACUGGACCGAUACUGACACUGAGGAUCGAAAGCGUGGGUAGCAAACAGGAUUAGAUACCCUGGUAGUCCACGCCCUAAACGAUGUCAACUAGCCGUUGCGGGUAUCGACCCCUGCAGUGGCGCAGCUAACGCGAUAAGUUGACCGCCUGGGGAGUACGGUC
rnacentral:rRNA from 1 species